UACGUAGGGUGCGAGCGUUAAUCGGAAUUACUGGGCGUAAAGCGCUCGUAGGCGGAUGUCUAAGUCGAUUGUGAAAGCCCUGGGCUUAACCUGGGAACUGCAGUCGAUACUGGACGUCUAGAGUAUGGUAGAGGAUAGUGGAAUUCCCGGUGUAGCAGUGAAAUGCGUAGAUAUCGGGAGGAACACCAGUGGCGAAGGCGACUUUCUGGACCAAUACUGACGCUGAGGAGCGAAAGCGUGGGGAGCAAACAGG
rnacentral:rRNA from 1 species